rnacentral:rRNA from 1 species
AAUGAACGCUGGCGGCAUGCCUAACGCAUGCAAGUCGAACGAGACCUUCGGGUCUAGUGGCGCACGGGUGCGUAACGCGUGGGAAUCUGCCCUUGGGUUCGGAAUAACAGUUAGAAAUGACUGCUAAUACCGGAUGAUGUCGAAAGACCAAAGAUUUAUCGCCCGAGGAUGAGCCCGCGUAGGAUUAGCUAGUUGGUGAGGUAAAGGCUCACCAAGGCGACGAUCCUUAGCUGGUCUGAGAGGAUGAUCAGCCACACUGGGACUGAGACACGGCCCAGACUCCUACGGGAGGCAGCAGUGGGGAAUAUUGGACAAUGGGCGAAAGCCUGAUCCAGCGAUGCCGCGUGAGUGAUGAAGGCCUUAGGGUUGUAAAGCUCUUUUACCCGGGAUGAUAAUGACAGUACCGGGAGAAUAAGCUCCGGCUAACUUCGUGCCAGCAGCCGCCGUAA